UGGGGAAUAUUGGACAAUGGGCGCAAGCCUGAUCCAGCCAUGCCGCGUGAGAGAUGAAGGCCCUAGGGUUGUAAAGCUCUUUCACCGGUGAAGAUAAUGACGGUAACCGGAGAAGAAGCCCCGGCUAACUUCGUGCCAGCAGCCGCGGUAAUACGAAGGGGGCUAGCGUUGUUCGGAUUUACUGGGCGUAAAGCGCACGUAGGCGGACUAUUAAGUCAGGGGUGAAAUCCCGGGGCUCAACCCCGGAACUGCCUUUGAUACUGGUAGUCUUGAGUUCGAGAGAGGUGAGUGGAAUUCCGAGUGUAGAGGUGAAAUUCGUAGAUAUUCGGAGGAACACCAGUGGCGAAGGCGGCUCACUGGCUCGAUACUGACGCUGAGGUGCGAAAGCGUGGGGAGCAAACAGG
rnacentral:rRNA from 1 species